AGGAGCAAACAUGUGGGCGACAGCCUGAUGGAGCAACGCCGCGUGAGUGAAGAAGGUUUUCGGAUCGUAAAACUCCUGUUGUAAGGGAAGAACAAGUACAGUAGUAACUGGCCGUACCUUGACGGUACCUUAUUAGAAGCCACGGCUAACUACGUGCCAGCAGCCGCGGUAA
rnacentral:rRNA from 1 species